rnacentral:rRNA from 1 species
CACGUAGGGUGCGAGCGUUGUCCGGAAUUAUUGGGCGUAAAGAGCUCGUAGGCGGUGUGUCGCGUCGACCGUGAAAACCUGCAGCUUAACUGUGGGCGUGCGGUCGAUACGGGCAUCACUGGAGUUCGGCAGGGGAGACUGGAAUUCCUGGUGUAGCGGUGAAAUGCGCAGAUAUCAGGAGGAACACCGGCGGCGAAGGCGGGUCUCUGGGCCGAUACUGACGCUGAGGAGCGAAAGCGUGGGGAGCGAACAGG